UCCCAGACUCCUACGGGAGGCAGCAGUGGGGGAUAUUGCACAAUGGGGGAAACCCUGAUGCAGCGACGCCGCGUGGGUGAAGAAGCGCCUCGGCGCGUAAAGCCCUGUCAGCAGGGAAGAAAAUGACGGUACCUGAAGAAGAAGCCCCGGCUAACUACGUGCCAGCAGCCGCGGUAAUACGUAGGGGGCAAGCGUUAUCCGGAUUUACUGGGUGUAAAGGGGGCGCAGGCGGCGCGCCAAGCCCGAUGUGAAAGCCCGGGGCUCAACCCCGGGACUGCAUUGGGAACUGGCGUGCUGGAGUGCCGGAGGGGCAGGCGGAAUUCCUGGUGUAGCGGUGAAAUGCGUAGAUAUCAGGAGGAACACCGGUGGCGAAGGCGGCCUGCUGGACGGAUACUGACGCUGAGGCCCGAAAGCGUGGGGAGCGAACAGGAUUAGAUACCCGAGUA
rnacentral:rRNA from 1 species